AUCCAGCCGUCGAGUACCAAAUAGGACGAAACACGCGUCAAACUGGAU
rnacentral:hammerhead_ribozyme from 1 species